rnacentral:tRNA from 1 species
GCCCCCAUCGUCUAGUGGCCCAGGACACCGCCCUUUCAAGGCGGCAGCACGGGUUCGAAUCCCGUUGGGGGCA